CUUUAUUCUGCCCCCCUACCCCUCACACAAACAAUAACACCUUACACCGUCACACACUGCACCACACACACACACUGCCCUCCCAUAAACACACACACUGCACCCCUCUCUCUCUCUCUCACACACACACACACACUGCACCCCCAUACACACACUUCCCCCCAUACACACACACUGUACCCCUCACACACACUGCCCCAUAAUCACACAAUGCACCCCCAUACACACACACACUGCCCCCCAUACACACACUGCCUCUCUCAUACAUACUGUCCCAAAACAGACACUGCCCCUCAUACGCAAAUUGCCCCCUCACACACUGCACCCCUCACACACACACACACACUGCACCCCAUACACACACACUGCAUCCCUCACACACACUCUACACCCAACACACACACACUUCACUAUUCACACACUACACCCCUAACACACACUGCCCCACACAUACACAUACUACACCCGUCACACACACUACACCACUCACACACACAAGCACUGACACUCUCACACACUGCCCCCUCACACACAAUGCCCCCCUUACACACAAUGCCUCCCUCACAUGCACACACACUUCACCCCUCACACACACGUCACUCCUCAAACACACAUCACUCCUCACACACACACACACUACUGCCCCAAACCAGGCAGACCCCAG